GUCACAAUAACCGAAACCACUCCCGGUGAUGACCAUAGUUUGAGGAGUUCAUGUGUUCACCAAGUGCUAAUGCGUUGGUCCGGUUCUUUAUUAAAAGGAGAACCUUAAUAUCCCGUAGUUUCCUUUUGGACCCCGGUGCAACGGGAGGGAUGGACAAUAGAUGUCAUGUAUGUUCAUUUCCUUAAGCACGCAUGACGACACACGGAAUGCAUGCCUACAUCACAUUGACGAACGGGAGCUAGCCACAUAUCUCUCCGUGUUAUGAUUGUUGCAUGAUGAAUAUCAUCCAAACAAAUCACCGACCCAUUGUCUACGAGUUUGUCCCACUGCUGCUGUUACUUGUUUUGCUAUGCUGCUGUUACUUGUUUUGCUCUGAUGCUGUUACUACUGUUGCUACUUGCUAC
rnacentral:lncRNA from 1 species